AACGUAGGACGCAAGCGUUAUCCGGAGUUACUGGGCGUAAAGCGCGGGCAGGCGGUUCUGCCAGUCUGAUGUGAAAUCUCUCAGCUCAACUGGGAGCAGCCAUUGGAAACUACAGAACUGGAGUCUGGCAGAGGUAGGCGGAAUUCCGGGUGGAGUGGUGAAAUGCGUAGAUAUCUGGAGGAACACCGGUGGCGAAGGCGACAUCCUGGACCGGUAUUGACGCUGAGGCGCGAAAGCCAGGGGAGCAAACGGG
rnacentral:rRNA from 1 species